rnacentral:rRNA from 1 species
CACUGGUGUUCGGGUUGUCAUGCCAAUGGCACUGCCCGGUAGCUAAAUGCGGAAGAGAUAAGUGCUGAAAGCAUCUAAGCACGAAACUUGCCCCGAGAUGAGUUCUCCCUGACCCUUUAAGGGUCCUGAAGGAACGUUGAAGACGACGACGUUGAUAGGCCGGGUGUGUAAGCGCAGCGAUGCGUUGAGCUAACCGGUACUAAUGAACCGUGAGGCUUAACCUUACAACGCCGAAGCUGUU